CCUACGGGUUGCAGCAGUGGGGAAUAUUGGGCAAUGGGCGCAAGCCUGACCCAGCCACGCCGCGUGAAGGAAGAAGGCUUUCGGGUUGUAAACUUCUUUUCUCAGGGACGAAGCAAGUGACGGUACCUGAGGAAUAAGCCACCGGUAACUACGUGCCAGCAGCCGCGGUAAUACGUCGGUGGCAAGCGUUAUCCGGAUUUACUGGGUGUAAAGGGCGUGUAGGCGGGGACGCAAGUCAGAUGUGAAAACCACGGGCUGAACCUGUGGCCUGCAUUUGAAACUGUGUGUCUUGAGUACUGGAGAGGCAGGCGGAAUUCCUGGUGUAGCGGUGAAAGGCGUAGAUAUUAGGAGGAACACCAGUGGCGAAGGCGGUCUGCUGGACAGCAACUGACGCUGAGGCGCGAAAGCGUGGGGAGCAAACAGGAUUAGAUACCCUAGUAGUC
rnacentral:rRNA from 1 species